AACGAACGCUGGCGGCAUGCCUAACACAUGCAAGUCGAACGAGACCUUCGGGUCUAGUGGCGCACGGGUGAGUAACGCGUGGGAACCUGCCUUUAGGUUCGGAAUAACUCAGAGAAAUUUGAGCUAAUACCGGAUGAUGUCUUCGGACCAAAGAUUUAUCGCCUUUAGAUGGGCCCGCGUUGGAUUAGCUAGUUGGUGGGGUAAAGGCCUACCAAGGCGACGAUCCAUAGCUGGUCUGAGAGGAUGAUCAGCCACACUGGGACUGAGACACGGCCCAGACUCCUACGGGAGGCAGCAGUGGGGAAUAUUGGACAAUGGGCGAAAGCCUGAUCCAGCAAUGCCGCGUGAGUGAUGAAGGCCUUAGGGUUGUAAAGCUCUUUUACCCGAGAUGAUAAUGACAGUAUCGGGAGAAUAAGCUCCGGCUAAUUCCGUG
rnacentral:rRNA from 1 species